rnacentral:lncRNA from 1 species
GCAUUUAGUUGAAGCUGCAGGGGAGUGAGGGAGAGGAGGAUAGGAAGCAGGAAAGCGGGAGAGCUCGAGGGACAAGGGGGCUCGGUGUGUUUACACCAGGCACGGGCUACGAGCGUCCAUCCCGGCCCCUGGCUUGCGCUCCCGAAGAGGAGAGCAAGGCUGUUCUGGGAUCCGGCCGUCGUGCGGCAAGAGGCUUGUCUGUCCGGGUUGCCGGAACCAGGAGAACCCAGAGGGAAACCGAGGGAAAGGAGCGGCGCGUUUUACUAGAGAGAGCGCGAGCGGAAGAGGCGAGAGCAGGAGCGCGCGAGGGAGCAUCGAGCGCAGCGGAGACAUGAGGACCUACUGGCUGCACAGCGUCUGGGUGCUGGGCUUUUUCCUGUCCCUCUUCUCAUUGCAAGUCAG